rnacentral:rRNA from 1 species
GAUGAAUGCUGGCGGCGUGCCUAAUACAUGCCAGUCGAGCGAACAGACGAGGAGCUUGCUCCUCUGACGUUAGCGGCGGACGGGUGAGUAACACGUGGAUAACCUACCUAUAAGACUGGGAUAACUUCGGGAAACCGGAGCUAAUACCGGAUAAUAUAUUGAACCGCAUGGUUCAAUAGUGAAAGACGGUUUUGCUGUCACUUAUAGAUGGAUCCGCGCCGCAUUAGCUAGUUGGUAAGGUAACGGCUUACCAAGGCGACGAUGCGUAGCCGACCUGAGAGGGUGAUCGGCCACACUGGAACUGAGACACGGUCCAGACUCCUACGGGAGGCCGCAGUAGGGAAUCUUCCGCAAUGGGCGAAAGCCUGACGGAGCAACGGCGCGUGAGUUAUGAAGGUCUUUGGAUCGUAAAACUCUGUUAUUAGGGAAGAACAAAUGUGUAAGUAACUAUGCACGUCUUGACGGUACCUAAUCAGAAAGCCACGGCUAACUACGUG